GCUUGUCUCAAAGAUUAAGCCAUGCAUGUCUAAGUGUAAAUAAGUCUAUACUGUGAAACUGCGAAUGGCUCAUUAAAUCAGUUAUCGUUUAUUUGAUGAUCUCUUACUACUUGGAUAACCGUAGUAAUUCUAGAGCUAAUACAUGCAUCAAGCCCCGACUGUUUGGAAGGGGUGUAUAUAUUAGAUUGAAACCAAUGCGGGGCAACCCGGAGUGUGGUGAUUCAUAAUAUCUUUCGGAUCGAUUUAUCGAUGCAUCAUUCAAGUUUCUGCCCUAUCAGCUUUGGAUGGUAGGGUAUUGGCCUACCAUGGCUUUAACGGGUAACGGAGAAUUA
rnacentral:rRNA from 1 species